GAUGAACGCUGGCGGCGUGCCUAAUACAUGCAAGUCGAGCGAACAGACGAGGAGCUUGCUCCUCUGACGUUAGCGGCGGACGGGUGAGUAACACGUGGAUAACCUACCUAUAAGACUGGGAUAACUUCGGGAAACCGGAGCUAAUACCGGAUAAUAUAUUGAACCGCAUGGUUCAAUAGUGAAAGACGGUUUUGCUGUCACUUAUAGAUGGAUCCGCGCCGUAUUAGCUAGUUGGUAAGGUAACGGCUUACCAAGGCAACGAUGCGUAGCCGACCUGAGAGGGUGAUCGGCCACACUGGAACUGAGACACGGUCCAGACUCCUCCGGGAGGCAGCAGUAGGGAAUCUUUCGCAAUUGGCGCAAGCCUGACGGAGCAACGCCGCGUGAGUGCUGAAGGUCUUCCGAUCGUAAAACUCUGUUAUUAGGGAAGAACAAAUGUGUAAGUAACUAUGCACGUCUUGACGGUACCUAAUCAGAAAGCAACGGCUAACUACGUG
rnacentral:rRNA from 1 species